AUCAGCUGUCGAUGUGAGGGCAGAGGGGCGGGCCUUCGGCGACCGUUAUCCGUGAUUAUGAAGAGAAUCAGUUAUCUUUACCGGGGCUGAUUAGCUGCACUUACUGAUCCAGACAGAAGUAAAGGCACCUUCAGAAGACGGCAAGCUGGCGACCAGAGCAGGAAAGGAAGGCAAGAAGGAGGAGGAGGAAGAGGAAGAAGAGGAGUAUGUGGUGGAGGAGGUUCUGGACCGCAGAGUGGUGAAGGGAAGAGUAGAGUUUCUGCUGAAAUGGAAGGGGUUCUCAGAUGAGGAUAACACAUGGGAGCCACAAGACAACCUGGAACUUGACCUUAUCGCCGAGUACAUGCAGAAACACAAGGAGACGGAGGAGAAGAAGAAGGAG